rnacentral:rRNA from 1 species
UACGUAGGGGGCGAGCGUUGUCCGAAGUUACUGGGCGUAAAGGGCGCGUAGGCGGCGCGACAAGUCACUUGUGAAAUCUCCGGGCUUAACCCGGAGCGGCCAAGUGAUACUGUCGUGCUGGAGUGCGGAAGGGGCCACCGGAAUUCUCGGUGUAGCGGUGAAAUGCGUAGAUAUCGGGAGGAACACCAGUGGCGAAGGCGGCGACCUGGGGCAAUACUGACGCUGAGGUGCGAAAGCGUGGGGAGCAAACAGG